GUACAGGUACCCCAGAGACAGAUGAUCCCGACGACACCCAGCUGGCGUGGCAGUACGAUGAGGAGACAGACCGCCUCUACGUGAACUAUCCAGAGGACUGAUGCGUGGUCGUGAUCGUGGGCCUGCAGGCAGGGUAGCAUAGCAUUUUCUUGUUUUGUAGUCCGUAGCGGAACUACCUUGAUUGUAUCUGUGAUGUGCUCUGAGUUAUUAAUAAGAAGACAGU
rnacentral:lncRNA from 1 species